rnacentral:rRNA from 1 species
CAGUCGCCCGGGAAUACGGAGGGUGCAAGCGUUAAUCGGAAUUACUGGACGUAAAGCGCACGCAGGCGGUCUGACAAGUCAGAUGUGAAAUCCCCGGGCUUAACCUGGGAACUGCAUUUGAAACUGUCAGGCUGGAGUCUUGUAGAGGGGGGUAGAAUUCCAGGUGUAGCGGUGAAAUGCGUAGAGAUCUGGAGGAAUACCGGUGGCGAAGGCGGCCCCCUGGACAAAGACUGACGCUCAGGUGCGAAAGCGUGGGGAGCAAACAGGAUUAGAUACCCCAGUAGUCCCUGUCUCUUAUACA